rnacentral:rRNA from 1 species
GACGAACGCUGGCGGCGUGCUUAACACAUGCAAGUCGAACGGAAAGGCCCUGCUUUUGUGGGGUGCCCGAGUGGCGAACGGGUGAGUUACACGUGAGUAACCUGCCCUUGACUUUGGGAUAACUUCAGGAAACUGGGGCUAAUACCGGAUAGGAGCUCCUGCUGCAUGGUGGGGGUUGGAAAGUUUCGGCGGUUGGGGAUGGACUCGCGGCUUAUCAGCUUGUUGGUGGGGUAGUGGCUUACCAAGGCUUUGACGGGUAGCCGGCCUGAGAGGGUGACCGGCCACAUUGGGACUGAGAUACGGCCCAGACUCCUACGGGAGGCAGCAGUGGGGAAUAUUGCACAAUGGGCGGAAGCCUGAUGCAGCAACGCCGCGUGCGGGAUGACGGCCUUCGGGUUGUAAACCGCUUUCGCCUGUGACGAAGCGUGAGUGACGGUAAUGGGUAAAGAAGCACCGGCUAACUACGUG